UUAUUGGAGAGUUUGAUCCUGGCUCAGGACGAACGCUGGCGGCGUGCCUAAUACAUGCAAGUCGAGCGAGUCCUUCGGGGCUAGC
rnacentral:rRNA from 1 species